AGAGAGAGAGAUAGAAAAGAGAGAGAGAGAAAGAUAGAGAGAGACGGGCUACGGUUUCCAUCAAUCGGCAGUCGAGAGAGGAGAGAAAGAAGAAGAAGAAGAAAAAGAUGGAGGAGAGGCCGGUGUUGCGCACAAUGAUGGGCAUGAGAAGAAGACGAUAUACUGGCAGCUCAAUGCGUGUUUUGCUGUUCUGUGGCUCCCUUUGGCAUGAUUCCACCAGAUCUAUGUUAGAUCUAAGGGCACAAAAUGCUAUACGGUGAAUUUUGGCCAAUCUAUAGCAGCGAUCGAUGGCGAACGGCAAUGACGCAUGGCGAUCUAUUGGAGGUGCAUGUGGAGGCGAUGGACUUCCAUUGGUUGCUCACAGUGAGUCCUAGGAACCUGGUUCGGGUAUAUGAGUUCAGAAACCUUGAUAGUUUAUCGCUUUAUAUUUAGGGUUAAUUAAUCUUAUUUAAUUUUAAUGUAAUAAAUUAUUUAUCCAGUUUAGAAUUAGGAAAAAGUCUAGACAUAGAUGUUUGAAAUU
rnacentral:lncRNA from 1 species